UAGUAACCUACUUGCCUAAGUAGGUGCAUCACCUACUUAAUUUAUGUGGACCAAAAAAAAUAGGGGUAAAAAGGAAAAAGCAAACAGUAGGGGGUCGGUUUGGGCCUUAGAAGGCCAAGCCUGAUUUUAUCUUCUCAUUUUCUCUUCUUCUCUCCUCUCUCUCCACCAGCAACCCAUAUGUUUUUCCUCUCUCUUCCAAUCUAGUUGAACUCCCAAAACACUCCCAAAGAGUUCACACAUGAUCCUAGAGUAAAUCCAAAGGUAAACAACAUAGAUCUUGCUUUGGAGGAUCCAUAAUACAAGUAUAGUUGUACUCUUCUCUUAGUUGUUGGAUCUGAAGUUCUUUCAAGAGGAAGUAAGGUAAAGCUAAGAAGUAUGGGCUGUACAUAUUUGUGCGUCCCGUACAUGGAUCAUGUACGUCAAUUGCAAGAGACAGAAUGCUCCAGUUUUGGAAGACGAGGUAGGGGCAAAAAGGACGGGACGUACUUUGAAGUACGAUCCGUAAAUGUAGCCCGUACUUGUUGACCUAAUUCUUGAAGAAGUAUGGGACGUACUUAAUUGUACAUCCCGUACUUUGUUCUGUCGGGGCAAUUUUGUCUUCAAGAAGAUUCUAAGUUUUUGGACUUUAUAAAUAGUUUCUUAUUGGGUUUUAUGUAUCAUUCAUUAUUAGUUUUAGACUUUAUUCUCCUAACAUUGAAUACUCUAUUGAUUUUGGAGCUUUGGAGAAUAAGGCAA